rnacentral:lncRNA from 1 species
UAAACACAGAAGAGUAGUGUAUAAAAGCAGCAACAAGAGUGAGAGCAUCUUAAUAAUGCCUCGCAGAAGUUUAUGGGGCUGCCCUCUUUGAGACACAUGGUCAGUUGCCUUAGUUUUCUCGACAUUCCAUGCUUAUCUAUCAACUUCCCAGAAGUAUAAUAUUUUAAGUAGAAAUAGUUCAGUCCUGGUGAGCUAUUCUGGGAGAAAGAGGACAAGCUGCUUGUUCUCAGUGCAAUGCACCCUCUUGCUUCUCUGUCGUGGCCCCAUGGUCGUCUAGGUGUGGGAACGAGGGAAAUAAGAAAGGGUUACAUUUUGCUUACUGAACACCAGCAAGAUAAACACUUCCAAGGCCUCGCUUCUGUUAUUUGUUGCUGUCAGCAGCCUUCUGAGAUGGCACACCAUGAUACCUGCUCCCUCAUCUUCACGCCUUGCUUAAUCACAUCCUGUUGAGAGUGGGCUGGAAAGAGCAAGUGGCUUCUGAGGAAUGGAGCACUGCCAAGUGUUGGGAUGACGCUACUGAGACUAAGCCACAAAGACUCUAACUUUAUGGUCUUCUUUCUCUUUCUGGGCCUCCUCACCUGUUUUCAUGAAGGAAGUUGUGAGCUGCCCCAUGGAGAGGCCUAUAUGACAGAGAACUGGUCAACAGCCAACAAAGAAUGGAGGGCCUCCGUGCAGCAGCCCAUGAGGAUCUGAAUCCCACCAAUCACCUUGCAAGGGAGCUUGGAAAAGGAUCCACCUAGGCUUGACACGACUGAUGUCCCGGCUGACUACAGGCUCAUAAGAGGGCUCAGCUAAGCAAUGCCAAAAUUCCUCACCCACAGAAACUGUGAGCCUUGUGAAGAAGGUGCCUUGCUUCCCUUUCACCUUCCACCAUGAUUGUAAGUUUCCUGAGGCCUCCCCAGCCAUGUGAAACUCUGCAGUUGUCUGCAGGUAACUGAAACUGCAGACAGAGAAACUGUGGAUAAGGCGACUGCUGUAAUGCAUUCACUAUACUUCAUCUCUGAAUGUGAGCAACUCCAGAAAACUACUUGGCCAGGUUAAAAGAAAUGGACUGAGCUGGCAUAUUCAUCAAAGCAAUUUACUGAGAAUGCACUUUGACAGACUGCAUUAAGAAUGUUGACUUGUGAAAACAAAGGGUUGCUUUAUAAUGCACAUAAAUUAUAUGCUUUAAAAAAGUGAAGGGUCUGAAUUUUUUAAUGAUCCUCUAGCUAGAGCAGAAUGGAGUUUUGCCUAUUUUUCAUUUUAGCACUUCAAAAGGUCUUCUCAGGAUCCCAUGGCUGACAUAACUCAAGCAGAAAAGAUAGCACGACUGUAUUAUGCUUUUCUACUUGGAUCUAUUAAAAUUAGAUUUAAGUCAACAUAUAUUUAUUAAGUAUCAACCAUGAACCAAAGACUGUGCUGAAUGCUUUUAAGGAUACAAAGAUAAACCAAACAAUGUCAGAAGAAGGUUGAAGGGAAAUAUCUCCUCAAAUAGUAGCCUACCAGGGUAUACUAAAAAAAUGUACCCUCAAAAGAACAAUAUGGUUUCAAAGAAUCAAUUGAUUGUGUUUGGUUGAGGGCUAGUAAAUUAUCUUAUUUAAAACCCAAUUUUGACUUCCAUGUUUCUUGAGGGAUGGAUACUAGAAGAGACAGGAAUCAAGGGAGAAGCGGGAGUCCAGAGGCACUAAGCAGCCUAAGCAAAGGUAAUGUUUAAGGUCUGUUAAGGUGGCUGGUUUGACUUGGUGUCCAAAGUACACAUAGAGGAAGAGGAAGAGGAAGACGCAGGGCUGGAAAGAGUGCAGCUUUGACACAUAAUUGAUGGAAAAUAUGAGGAAGAGAUGAAGAUCUGGUAAGAAAAUGCUAUGCUGAAGGUGAUAUUUAAUAAUGGUUAAUCCUGAAAUGGUG